UACGUAGGGACCGAGCGUUAUCCGGAUUCAUUGGGCGUAAAGAGCUCGUAGGCGGCUAUUCAAGUCGAACGUGAAAUCUCGGAGCUCAACUCCGAGCCUGCGUUCGAUACUGGGUAGCUAGAGUAUGGUAGGGGAGACUGGAAUUCCUGGUGUAGCGGUGAAAUGCGCAGAUAUCAGGAGGAACACCGGUGGCGAAGGCGGGUCUCUGGGCCAUAACUGACGCUGAGGAGCGAAAGCGUGGGGAGCGAACAGG
rnacentral:rRNA from 1 species